rnacentral:lncRNA from 1 species
GGAAAAGAGUUGUUUCCUGGGCUAAGUGGACUCCUCCUCUUAUUGGUUGACCAUCUUGGGGCAGCUGUCCUGCCCAGGCUUCGACACACUUUUUCACUUGUUCAACAUCCGCUCACCAGCCUGGCUCGUGAUCAGGACAUGAUGUUGAAGACUGGGACAAAAGACAAGGCCCGUGGGCAGCUCUUAGGCCAGAGGCCAGAUCAUUAACUGUUUUGAUCACUCUGGAGUUGGGGCUUAUGCUAGCACAUAGUAGGUACUCAGACCAGGAGCCUGGUUAGGAGUGGUUAGUGAAGUAGCCUCCCAUACACAUGGACACAAAGUCAUUUAAAAACGUUUGCUGAGUGCCCUCAGGAUGUCAGCUGCUGUAAGGGGGCACAGAGAGCAAGCGCCCAGCCCUGAUGCCUGAGUGGUGCCGUCAACAAGACAGGGUGGAGCACGUGGGCUUUCUUGACCAUUCUGUUGCCUUGGAUCCAUCUAGUUAAAUGCCCACAGAGCUUCCCGCACCCACAUUAAGGGGUUUUUUGUGGUGAGCUCUUGGCAAACAACCAAGACCCCACAAGUUAAUGACCACCUUCAGGUCCUACAGGGAGUCUCUGGGGAGAUAACUCCCUGCUACGUCCAGGCUCUGGGGGGUCCACAAGAGCUGCGAACGGCAUCGUGCAGCCUUGGAGCACGGGGAGGGGUAACUGCUCUGUCCAUCUUGCCCUGGCUGGGGACGCGGCUCAGGAACACUCAGCCUCCCAGUGUUUAAUAUUUUAGUGUCUCACUGUUUCACCCAAGUCCCCAAUGGAACUACCCAUAUGACAAUCUGUCUGUGCCUUAUGGAAGUGAGUGUGUGUGUGUGUCUGUGUCUGUGUGUGUGCACUUUUAUCCUUUAAAGUGCAACCCUUCAAUGUGGACAAGAAGCUAGCAGAUGCGGUUGGGCUCCAGACAUCAGCAGGGAGUCCCUGAGACCCUCUUGCGGAUUGCGGUUGGACUGAAAGUAUUCAUCCCCACCCAUCCCCACUAGCUGUGUACAGACCCUUUGAAACAUGUCUGUCCUUUCUGGUUCAAUACUGUGGCUCUCCAAUACUGUCUACUCUUUGGGGAACUGUACUAAAGGCCUGAGAGCUUGGGGAGUGAGCUUGGGAAGGGUUUGCGCUGGUCUUUGUGUGUUGUGUGUUCUGAUAUUUGUCUGUUUUUAUCUGUUUUAUAUUAACAUAACUUUCCUGUUUGAAAACAAAUAAAACUUUGGCUUGGUACAAAAA